CUCCUAUUCAGUGCUAACUUUGACUUUGUGCCCUGGGCCAGGUGAAAAGACUUUUCCAAAUAAGAAAGAAUAAGAAAAAAAACCAAAAAACAACCCACGAAACAAAGCACAAGAAGUAAACCAUAAAUUGAAAUUUCUAUACGAAGACGUUUCUUCGACUUUUUGGCAAAAUACUGCAUCUUCAGCCAGGAGAAGUUGGCGAAGUACAAAAGGGCUUUUGAAGCGCAUGGCCAAGAGGGGCUGUCCGAGAUCAAGUCUUAGCUUAGAGAAACUCAGAAACCAGAACUUCCUUUCUUCCAUCACCAGAAGGUUCAUCUCAUCAACUCUUGUUACUGAAACAGCAUCUUCCAUGG
ensembl:lncRNA